UUUCCGUAGGUGAACCUGCGGAAGGAUCAUUAUUGAAUGAAACACUUCUGGCUUUAUGCUGUUGUGCUGGCCCUUUGGGCAAUGUGCACACGGCUCUGGUCACUUGUUUCUUCUGUUCCACCUGUGCACUGCCUGUAGACACGCUGUGUCUAUGAUAUUUGUUAACACACAACAAUGUUAGUUGGCAUGUUAUAUAUAAUAAUAAAAUAUACAACUUUCAACAACGGAUCUCUUGGCUCUCGCAUCGAUAAGAACGCAGC
rnacentral:misc_RNA from 1 species